CCCGAGCAAGGUCCAACGAUGGACUUGCUCUAACAUUGGCACUCUAGUUUGGACUAUCACCUAUAUCAUAAGGUGUUGAUGAAGUUGGAAUUAGAUGAGUUUUGAAUUAGACUAUAACUUAUAUCAUAAACUUUUAUUAUGUCUAUAUAAAAGGGCUAUUGUACUAGUUUUGAAUUGGGAGCAAAACAAUAAAUUUGUAUACAUUUAAGGAGUUAAAGUGAGAGAAUAUUGUAAAGUGUGUGCGAGAGAAAAGAAAAUAUUUGUGUACAUUUGUAUACAUUUGUAUACAUUUGUGUUACCUAUUUGGUUUUCGUGUCUUAUUUGGGUUUGGAUUUUGACUUCUUAGUUGGUUUCCUUGGUGGAGAGAUUUUGUUAAUUACCUAUUUGAUUAGGAUUUGAUUUACUUCCUAUUAGGAUUCUUAUUGCAACCUAAGUCCUAUACACUAUAAAAAGGAUCUUAGGGAUAGUGUAUUUCGUGUGGCUCAUUCGUGUGGCAAUUUGGUGAGAGUCAAUUUGUGAGUUUGUGAAUUAAUGAACAAUUUGGGAGAAUCUUCUCCGUUUGUUUGAGUUCUCUACUUGUUUGGUUUAGGGUUUGUAAUUUGUGGGAUUUGGGUUGUGAGAGUUUAAACACUCUUUUGUAAUCUCCGUUUGUUUAGUGAAAUUCCUUGCCGUGAUUCGCCCGUGGAGUAGGCUUUACGCCGAACCACGUAAAUCUCUUAUGUUAGUUUGAGAUUGUUUGUUUUAGCUUUCACCUAAGACGUUGAUAUUUGGUACCUUGUUAUAAUUCGCUUUCGUUUACGCAUAAAAGUACAACAGCUCUAACUGAGUUACGUGGAAUUCAAGAAUGGAGGACACGCGUUAUUGAAGGUGUUAAGAUCAAGCCAGCAAACAUGUCUCAUGCUGAUUGGACCAAGAUGAAGAUAAGUGAUGUUUUCCGGCAAAAAAGUCUAUAAUUGCCGUAGCGAAUGAUGGUGGUAGUUCGGAUCAAGGAGAGCCUGGUCAAGAGAAGUCUGAUCAAGUGGAGCUUGGUCGAAAGAGAAGUUCAAUCAAAGGGAUUCUGGUCAUGAGUAGUUCAAUUAGGGGGAGUUUGGCUAUGAGUAGUUCAAUCAGAGGGAGUCUGGUCAUGAGUAGUUCAAUCAGUGGGAGCCUAGUUAUGAGAAGUUUGAUCAAUAGGAGCUUGAUCAAGAGAAGCAAUCCUAUUUUUCAGUAUACAUUCCUCAUGGUUUGGAGGGGGAGAUUGUUAAGUUUUUCCAACCCAUUAUAAGUUGUCCUAAGUGUAUUGGGAAUUAUUAGUCUUAGAGGAUUAUAUUCUUUUCCCAAUUGAAGUUGUUUCUCAAUUGGAGUUGUUUUCCCAAUUGGAUUUAGUUUCUCGGUUGGAGAAAGAUUCGUAACUAGAUCCCAAUUAGGAUUAGUAAUUCUUAUUGAAGGAACUUUUAUUAUGUCUAUGUAAAGGGGCUAUUUUACUAGUUUUGAAAUUGGGAGCAAAACAAUAAAUUUGUAUACACUCAAGGAGUUAAGAGUGAGAAUGUUGUAAAGUGUGCGAGAGAAAAGAAAAGAGGUAAGAGUAUAUUUCUUGUUCUCAUUCUUUCAAGUUUAUCGUCAAGUCUUAAUCAUAGAGGCUUGGCAAGAUUAUUGGUUGUAAUCAUUAUUGAUAUAGUGAAAGAUUAUUGUUGUCCCGUGGACGUAGGCACAUAUAGUUGAACCACGUAAAUUCUUUGUGUUGUUUAUCUUGGUUAUUUGUUCUCGAUUUCUGAGUUUGUUUUGUUUUUCCCAUUCUUAAAGGCGAUGUUCACAAGUGUUAUCAGAGCCAAGUUUGGCUGAUAUCCGUUUAGAAUGGAGGGUGUGAUUACGAUGAACUCACCCGUUCUAACUAAGUCACGUGGAAUUCAAGAAUGGAAGACAUGCAUUACUGAAGGUGUUAAGAUCAAGCUAGCAAGCAUGUCUGAUGCUGAUUGGACCAAGAUAAAGAUGAGUGAUGUUUUCUGGCAAAGAAGUCUAUAAUUGCCUUUGCCAAUGAUGAUGGUAGUUCUGAACAAAGGGAGCCUGGUCAAGAGAAGUCUGAUCAAGAGGAACUUGGUCAAAAGACAAGUUCAAUUAGGGAGAUUCUGGUCAUAAGUAGAUCAAUUAGAGGGAGCUUGGCUAUGAGUAGUUCAAUCAGUGGGAGCCUAGUCAUGAUAAGUUCAAUCAAUAGGAGCAAUCCUAUUAUUGGUAUACCUUCCUCAUGGUCUAGAAGGGGAGAUUGUUAAGUUUUUCAACCAAUGAUAAGUUGUCCUAAGUCUAUUGGGAAUUAUUAGUCUUAGAGGGUUAAAUUCUUUUCCCAAUUGAAGUUGUUUCUCAAUUGAAGUUGUUUACCCAAUUGGAGUUGUUUUCCUAAUUGGAUUUAGUUUCUCAAUUGGAGAAAGAUUCAUAACUAGAUUCCAAUUAGGAUUAGUAAUCCUCAUUGAAGGAACCUUUACUAUGUCUAUAUAAAGGGGUUAUUAUACUAGUUUUGAAUUGGGAGCAAAACAAUAAAUUUGUAUACCACUCAAGGAGUUAGAGGGAGAAUAUUGUAAAGUGUGUGCCGGAAAGAAAUGAGAUAAGACUGUAUUUCUUGUUUAUCGUCAAGUCUUAAUCCUAGAGGCUUGGAAAGAUUAUUGGUUGUUCUCAUCAUUGACACAAUGAAAGAUUUUUGUUGUCCCGUGGAUGUAGGCACAUAUAGCCGAACCACGUAAAUUAUUGGUGUUAUUCAUUUUGGUUAUUUGUUUUUUAUUUCCGAGUUUGUUUUGUUUUUCCCAUUCUUAAACGCGAUGUUCACAACAAGUGGUAUCAAAGCAGGUUUGGCUGAUACCCGUUUAGAAUGGAGGGUGCGAUUAUGAUGAAACUCACCCCCUCUAACUGAGUUACGUGGAAACCAAGAAUGGAGGACAUGCUUUACUCAAGGUGUUAGGAGCAAGCCAGCAAGAAUGUUUGAUGCUGAUUGGACCAAGAUGACGAUGAGUGAUGUUUUCUAGCAAAUAAGUCUAUAAUUGCCUUUGCCAAUGACAAUGGUAGUUCUAAUCAGGGGGAGCCUACUCAAGAGAAGUCUGAUCAAGAGGAGCUUGGUCAAAAUAGAAGUUCGAUCAGGGAGAUUCUGGUCAUGAGUAGUUUAAUUAAGGGGAGCUUGGUUAUGAGUAGUUUAAUCAAAGGGAGUUUGAUCAUGAGUAGCUCAAUUAAGAGGAGUUUGGCUAUUCUAACAUGUUUUGUGUCAUGCGCAAAUGGGUGUGCUGGAUUGUGAUCGCAGGGUGCUAGUACAAGUGAUGAACUAAGUUUCUUGAGGUCCAAUUUGUUGAGACUAUUUAUGGCAGGUAAUCGAGGAAUUAGCUCGUUUGAAUUGACUCAUGCGAUUGCUAAGGAAUACUUGUAUUGUACUUUCAUUUCUGUCCUCAGUUAUUCGAAAGCAUGUAAUACUUGUAUUGAGCUAAUCCUAAUUAAUAAAGUACCUACAAUUAAACCCAGAUGCUAAGCAUACAAGCACCUGCAUGCAUUACAUUGUUAAUAAGAAAUCUCGAGAGUGAAAUUCUCGGACAGCACAGUUAACAAUAUAAUAAAGAAAUUCAAUAAAACUAAGAAUACUACUAUUCCAAUUGCUUGAAUGGUUUUAAACACAAAUGACGAAAUAAAAGCAUUUUCUGCAAGAAAAUUGUGCGAGGAUCUAGAAAAAGUAAUUAAAGCUUCGGAAGUACUGACCUGACUACUGACUAGUGUGCAAUGAAAUUCCAGCUCAUCUUGAAAGGAAACUUUUAAGACGACGCUCCUCCUGCACUUCUUUUCUCACAGACAUUUUAUCAAACACCUUACUUACACAACACUUAAACAAUGAUGGACACCAUUUUUGGCUCAAGUAUGCCAGCAAAAAUGAAAGAGAAAAUUAUGAGAUUGAGUGGGAAACCAAACAGGAAAAUGGAACUAAAGGCGGUAAAAAAUGACCCGAGAUUAAGAGGGAAACCACAGGGAAAUGGCAGUAAAGGCAGUAAGAAUAUGAUCGAUACUAGGGUUGGGCUGUUGGUGGUUUUUGCGUACGGUCCAAAUAGUCAGGACUCAAGAAAUUUCACUACUUCACUUCUCAAUUUUUACGGUGCUACAUACAAGAGGUGGAAAUUUAAUUUCUCAUAUUUCCCGGUCCUACAAACGGAAACGUUUUUAGGAUAGGGGUAAGAAUUGUAUUUAAAAAACAAAACCAAUUAAUACAAAAAGCUACCAACAAAAAUAAGAAUUUAUCAAUUUAACCAUUUGACAGUAUGGGUCCAGUCAACGCUUUUAUUGCUCCAUCGUUGACCAAAUGGCGGUGUUGGCUUCUCUUCUCAUAUCUUUUCCGAUAAGCCGAGAUAGAUAGCCUCCGUAGAGAGAAAGACUUACAUGGAACAAUUCGUCGCCGACCGGUGGCGAUGUGAAUCCGUUUUAUGAAAGUCUCUCUCCUCCGUAGGCAUGGGAUCCUGCGAUUCAUAGCCACACCCUCAACUCGUCGAAGCUAGCGUUGGCUUCCAGGCACAGUUCUUCCGGUUGCCUUAUGAUAAAACCCUAAUCUCAACCCUAGCUCAACCUUAAGGCCAUCUCCAACCAAAGGAUGGCCAGAGGGCUCGUUUUAGCCAUCUAGCCCUCUAAGAAAUUAAUAUUUUAAUGAAUAGUGCAUGGCCAUAUUUCUUACCAUCUCCAACUGAGGGCCAAACUUAAUUUAUUACUUAAAUUUAAAAACUACAAUAACUUAAAUUUAAAAACUACAACUUAUAUUUAAAAACUACAACUA
rnacentral:lncRNA from 1 species